GAUCCUGGCUCAGGAUGAACGCUAGCUACAGGCUUAACACAUGCAAGUCGAGGGGCAGCAUGACCUAGCAGUAGGUUGAUGGCGACCGGCGCACGGGUGAGUAACACGUACCCAACCUACCGGUUAUUCCGGGAUAGCCUUUCGAAAGAAAGAUUAAUACCGGAUAGUAUAACGAGAAGGCGUCUUUUUGUUAUUAAAGAAUUUCGAUAACCGAUGGGGAUGCGUUCCAUUAGUUUGUUGGCGGGGUAACGGCCCACCAAGACAUCG
rnacentral:rRNA from 1 species